AGAAGAACUGUCCAAUAUAGGACAUUUAUAUUGGCCUUUAUGAAAGCAAGAAAUAAUAAAGUUUUAUUCGGUCAAGCCAUGAAAUUUUAGCGUUUGUUACUGAAGCAGCUAGCAUUAAUUCUGCUGACUCAUAUACUUCUCAAUAAUCCAGCACAGUAAUAACAAUAGCCUUUCAGAGAAGUAUCUUAAAAUUGCCUAAAGUUAUACAAUAAAUUAGGCAGUAUAUAAUGGGUUAAUCAAGUCAAAAGAGUUUAGUUUUAACCCCAGAAUGGAGAAACUUGGAUAUUAUGUCACGGUGUAAACACAUAAAGGGAUCUUUACAAAGCCAUGACAGAAAUACACAUUUGGUCUGUCAACACACACACACACACACACACACACAAACACACACACACACACACACAUCUAAAGUUUGUAUUCAUUUUGUUUUUCUGAACCAUGUGAUGAAUCACAGUGAUUUAAGUGAGUUAAGAAUAAGGGGAAAUUACCAACGUCGGAAAAAUAUUAGUUGACCCUUAUCCCUGCCAAUUUAUAGCGAGUAUAAUGGAUUAUGAGCAUUAAAAAAUGAAAAAAUUCACCGUAAUGUUAAAUGGUAGUUGCUAUAGAAUAUGUUUGAAUAAAAAAAUUACUAAUGAGGCAGUCUAGGUCUCAAGGCAGCUAUCCAAAUGCCAAGUACAACUGAAAUAGUGCUGCAGAUCAGAGAGUUAGUAGCAACACAAACACCAGUGAACAGACUUGCCAGACCAUAAAGAGAGCUGUGUGAGCUAAGUGUGUUACCUGGAGAUGGAAGCAUUAGGCUAUCACAGUUCACAAUAUGCAUUAAUGUCCUAAUGAGAAAUGUAAUCCCAAGCUACUUGCCUAGUUGUUAUUUCCAAGGAUGACUAAUCAUAGAGGGAAUUAAGAAACGAAAUACAUUAGAAUUAGUGUCAUUAUAGAAAUCAAACUGUACUUGUUUAAGGGGAAAAAUAACAACCAUAAGAUUUUUUUUAACCAAGAGUUUGCACAGAUUUAUUGGCUGCUUUUCUUUGAAUAUUGGAGUUAUAUUCAGCUUUACUGACAAUGUAUUAUGAUCAGAGAGAAUUUUGGAUUUUUCUCUUCUAUUCAGACAUGAUUAGGUCCUGACUGUAGACAUGAACAAUAGGCAACUGGAAACAAAUGGCCCUAAUGUCACAAGAGAGAUAAAACAGAUCUAAAAUGCUACUUCCCAUAGGUGUUCAUCAAAGCCUGAUUUAGUCAUUGCAGAAGGACUGUGGGUCUAGGCUUGGGUUUAUGUUCGCUUUUACAAGAUAUUUCAGCCAUUAUCCUGAUAACAGACAAUCUUUGGGGAUGUUAUUAGAUCCUUCCCUCCUUUUUUUCCUUCUGUUCUUUUUCCCUCCUUCUUCCCUCCUUCCCUUCCUUCUUCUUUCCCUCCAUCCUCCUUUCUUAAUAGAUGUGGACAAUGCUGUAGGUGAUCUUUAAAGUACUUUAAAUGUUCAGAGGCAUUUCAAACACCUUUUGUUUCACAAAGAUAAAACAUUGUUUACAUACUUCUAGGACAAGAAUAAGCAAUAUAUGACACACAGAAGGACUAGGGGGAAAAUAGGUUUUUUUCCUCUUAUUUUCUUCAAUAUUUUCUUUUGUCACUCCCAGUCACCAUCCUCCCUUUCCAUCUACUCUCCCCUAACAGGUUGUUUUUCCCCUCAUCUACAAAAUGGGGAUAAUAACACUCACCCCACAAUAGGACCUGACGUGAUAGAUCUGUACAUCACAGAAUACAAUGCAUGGGAAUUACCUAUGGCAGACUGUGGCCCAUCCUAGACACCCAGUGAUUAUGAACUCUUUGGCAGCUCAUUUCUUCUCAACCUUGCAAUAGCCAGUAUCUAGGUUUUUAAUUAUUUUUGAAAAAUUUUCAUAACUUCCUACUUCAUCAGCUGGGAACUGGUCUUUCUGAAUUGCCUUAGUUUUAGAUAAAGGCUCUUGUGGGUCCAGGAUGGUGGGGAAGAACAAUUUCCCUCUGUUUGCUGGCCUAACAAGGAUAAAUGACUCUAUCUCUGUGGUUUAUGUUGAAUGCCUGAUAAUGCAUCUCCAAGAGAAGCACUUAGCAAGAAAACUCAUAAAUAUGGCUAUAAUGUUUAUUCAAAGUACUCUAUUUGCAAGGCCAAGUAUACAAAUGAAGGAUGAAAACAGACAAAAUGUGUCACUAACAUUAGCCUGUGCUGUUUGUGAGGCAGGUAGUAAUAAUACAGGUAGUGUUUUCUCUUAUUGCUUGUUUUUCAGGGAGUUUUAGUUACAUAACAAAGAUUUAUUGUAAGAAUAAGAAACUUACUCUCUUCCAUCUUAUGGGAUGUCUGCUGGUCUGGGAAUGCAGGUCAUAGAGACGCAUUACCAAAAGUGUAUGUUUUAGAAGGUUCUUUGUCUCCCAAGCCUUGAUAUUUGCAUAAUAUAUAAAGUCAAUUUAUACUCCUUAAUCAUACACAAAUACUGCAUCUCUUUCCCUUAGCAUCCUAGCAAUCAUGUUCCUGCAGGAAUGGAAUAGAACCUAGAGUUUAUUUACUUUUAAAGAGAGACAAAUAAAAGAACAGAGAAUAACUGAUCAUGAAAGUGAAACUCAAUUUAAUCC
rnacentral:lncRNA from 1 species